UAAUCUGCCCUUUUUAGGGCAACCAAAUAUUUUAUUUCGAGAAAUAU
rfam:Solenopsis invicta Si_gnG.contig67575, whole genome shotgun sequence.